rnacentral:siRNA from 1 species
AGGUCUAAUUUGUCUGCGGUUUAG